AUGGCCGAUGCCGUAACCGCCGUCGAGAACUUCCCCCACCACGGCGGCGCCGUCAACGGCAUCGUGAAGGGUUUUCUGUGCUUGAGUGGAGCAAUACUGGUUCAGGUGCAGCACACCCUCCAUAUUCAUCCUGGCAGCUUCAUACUUAUGUUAACGAUAUUACCCACAGCCAUCGCAUUGCUGCUCAUGUACUUUGUUGACGUCCACAACCCUCAUCGGCGGUACAACAAGAAGUUCCUUGAUGCUUUCUCUCUCAUGGCCGUUACUGUCGCUGGGUACAUGAUGGUUGUCAUAAUCUGCGACCAAGUAUUCGUGAUAGGUUCAGCUGGGCAGAGUGUUUGCUUCGCGAUACUCCUGUUGUUGAUCAUGUCUCCAGCAGCUAUUGUUGUAGUAGUAACUCUUAAGGGCUCAGAAGACGGAGUCAAAACAGCAAGAAGAGCCAGCUCUAGCACUGCGUUUAUGGGAUCUGGUCAGGAUGUGUUGUCGCACAAAGAAAACCUGAAUGUGAUGCAGGCCAUUUGGCUGCUCUUCCUUGCGAUGGCCUGCGGGAUGGGAUCGGGGCUAGCCAAGGUGAACAAACUCAGCCAGAUCAGGGGCUCCCUCUGGCUACACGAUUAG
rnacentral:rRNA from 1 species